UUGUAACAAAAACAUAAUGGGCCAGGGUCGUAUUUGAAGGGAUCUCUAGUUCUGGGCGAUGUUAUCCAGAAAGUGUGGAUACGAUGUCAGAAAUUGGCGCUAAGAUUUCUAGAUAACCAAAGGUUCGAAGAAUCUUCUAAAUUAGUUCAUAAUUGUCAACAGCAAAAUUUCAAGAAUACAAAAAUUUUAAAUUCGCAAACCACCUUUAUGGUACAACAAUUCCCUCUAAAUAUGAUAAUUUUUUAUUGCUUUUUAUCGUUGAUUGGACCUACACCGUCAAUGAUAACGAUAUGAAUCAAAUGGCACUACAAAUGGGAGGCUAAAGUGCAGUUCCUAAAAUUAUUUUGCCCUAUACAGGGUGUACCAUCUUUUAUGGCCGAGUUAAAAUAUUUAAAUAAAUAUUUCUAUUCGAGUAAAAAUA